CGGCAGCCCGUCGACGCGCGGCAGCGGCAGCGGCACGAAGCGGAGGCGACCUGACAGGUGCGGCGGCACGGGCGGGAGCCUGGCGAGGUUCCGCGGCGUGGAGACGAAGGCGACAGCGUGGCCGCGGGCGGCGAGGCGCCUGGAGAGGUCGAGGAACGGGAGCAUGUGCCCGAACGCCAGCCACGGGAACAUCACCACCUCCAGCUGCCCGCCGGCUUCCUCCAUAUGGACGUGAGCUGAGCUGAGCCGAUCGGCAAUGGAGGCUGGAGAAGAAGCAAAUUAAUCAAGGUGGUUGACUCUCUUCUGGUGGAGCAGCCUGAGAAUGGUGAUAUGCGACGAUCGAUCCGACCGCGUGUGUAUAUAUAAUUCUACUCCGCAGAGGCGAGCUGGCGCUUCUCGUGGCGUGGCUGAUAUUUUAAGCUUUGAGAUUGGUACGGAUGUAAGCAUCAUUUGUGAUUUGCUACCGCUAACGACCAAUUGAAAGUGAGGAUAAUGGUCUAGCCGAAUAUAUAUACUUGGGAUAAUGACAACUUAGCCAAAUCAGGAUCAUGACCUGGCCGAUCAAAGUCAGAAGAGUAGAAUGUAUAGUUUAUCUUGGGAUAAUGUGAUUAAGGAGCCAGAAGUCAUCGCCGACACAAAACUUUCAGAGAACGUGGUAGCAAUUUCUCACUCAAACAUCCCUUUCUGGACUUGCAUCGAUUGAUUACUAUGCAUUUUGGUAACGUCUCAGGUGCUCCACAAGAUGGUCAAUGUGUACCGCUACCUGUCGCGCCCUGUCUUCGAGAACCUCUCACACAUGAACAUGAAUUGAACGAACACUACAACAUGGUACUUGUACUAAAGUUAGUAUAAAGUUGAGUCAUCUAUUUUGGAACGGAGGGAGUAGAAAUUUGGAGGCACUAAAAAUACGCCUUUAAAAGGUCGCCCCCAAAUAUGUAACGAGGUGACUGAAGAAAACACUAGAGUCAAUCACGAAGGCAAAGGUCUAACAUAGGCAUUAUGCAAAAACGCCUCCGAUGCUCAGGCCUUUGAGGGCGAUUUCGACGUCUCCAUGCUCAAAUCGAGGCAUUUUCAGAAAUGCCGACAAACCGCUGUGCACCGGCUGCUUAAAAAGUAGGAUCCGGCUUGCCUGCUCCUUUCACAUGCUCCCAUCCGUGCUUCCACUUCAUCCUACGACUGUCCUUUUCUCUUUUCUCUUUCUAAUCUAAUCAUUCCCCCCCUGAUUUUAAGAGAUGGGGCCGGAGCACGUUGGGAGAGUAGGCAAGUCUUGUUCGCUUAAAAAAGGCCUAUCGACUAUGCUGGAUCUACAAAACAGGACCUCUAACUCUUGUUCCAUUAGCGGUAUGGGACUAAAAUGUUUCAAGUCUGACCAACCUCCCGUGAGCAAAAGCUAAAUCUGAGAUAAUUAACAUGUAUUGCAUGAUUCGAACACAGCCCUGGCUGUGUAUAACUUUGCACUCAUACCACUACAAUAAGCAAAGCAUUUAGAUUAAGUUACAAACCAACCAUUUGUUAAUCCAGACGAGCAGGCCUUCCGAUCAAAAAUCAUCACGCAACUCAUCUCCGAUAUGCCAAUAAUCUCGUCAACAACGGAUUGAACGACGACGGCCAAGAACGAAAUACUCAUGCGGCUUUGAACACUGAAGGUCCCGUAACAGCAGCACUGCCACCCGCAUCAGCCGCAAUAUGUGGCCAGUUUGCCGCCGCCGGACCUGCCGCGCUGCAUCAAUCUAAGAGCAUUUUCCUAAGACGCCUGUCGGUGUCAAAACCGGCGGAUCUCGGGUAGGGGGUUCCGAACUGUGCGUCUAGGCCGGAUGAUAACAGGAGGCAGGGGACACGAUGUUUUAGCCAGAUUCGGGUCCUCUUGAUGAAGGUAAAACCCUACGUCCUGCUUGAUUAAUAUUGAUGAUAUGGGUAGUACAAGAGUAGAUCUACCACGAGAUCAGAGAGGCUAAACCCUAGAAGCUAGCCUAUGGUAUGAUUGUUGUUCGUCCUAUGGACUAAAACCCUCCGGUUUAUAUAGACACUAGAGAGGGCUAUGGUUACACAGAGUCGGUUACAAUGGUAGGAGAUCUACAUAUCCAUAUCACCAAGCUUGCCUUCCACGCCAAGGAAAGUCCCUUCCGGACACGGGACGAAGUGUUCAAUCUUGUAUCUUCAUAAUCCAGGAGUCCGGCCGAACGCCUCCGGCCAGCGGCGACGGCGUCCGUGAGGAACGCGGCGAGAGGGGCCGCGAGCCCGUCCAUGGCCAUCUUAAGGAACCCGUCCUCCCCGGGCGGCACGUCGGCGGUGGACUCGGCGCCCUCCGGCAGCCUGUCGACGCGCGGCAGCGGCAGCGGCACGAAGCGGAGGCGACCUGACAGGUGCGGCGGCACGGGCGGGAGCCUGGCGAGGUUCCGCGGCGUGGAGACGAAGGCGACGGCGUGGCCGCGGGCGGCGAGGCGCCUGGAGAGGUCGAGGAACGGGAGCAUGUGCCCGAAUGCCAGCCACGGGAACAUCACCACCUCCAGCUGCCCGCCGGCUUCCUCCAUAUGGACGUGAGCUGAGCUGAGCCGAUCGGCAAUGGAGGCUGGAGAAGAAGCAAAUUAAUCAAGGUGGUUGACUCUCUUCUGAUGGAGCAGCCUGAGAAUGGUGAUAUGCGACGAUCGAUCCGACCGCGUGUGUAUAUAUAAUUCUACUCCGCAGAGGCGAGCUGGCGCUUCUCGUGGCGUGGCUGAUAUUUUAAGCUUUGAGAUUGGUACGGAUGUAAGCAUCAUUUGUGAUUUGCUACCGCUAACGACCAAUUGAAAGUGAGGAUAAUGGCCUGGCCGAAUAUAUAUACUUGGGAUAAUGACAACUUAGCCAAAUCAGGAUCAUGACCUGGCCGAUCAAAGUCAGAAGAGUAGAAUGUAUAGUUUAUCUUGGGAUAAUGUGAUUAAGGAGCCAGAAGUCAUCGCCGACACAAAACUUUCAGAGAACGUGGUAGCAAUUUCUCACUCAAACAUCCCUUUCUGGACUUGCAUCGAUUGAUUACUAUGCAUUUUGGUAACGUCUCAGGUGCUCCACAAGAUGGUCAAUGUGUACCGCUACCUGUCGCGCCCUGUCUUCGAGAACCUCUCACGCAUGAACAUGAAUUGAACGAACACUACAACAUGGUACUUGUACUAAAGUUAGUAUAAAGUUGAGUCAUCUAUUUUGGAACGGAGGGAGUAGAAAUUUGGAGGCACUAAAAAAACGCCUUUAAAAGGUCGCCCCCAAAUAUGUAACGAGGUGACUGAAGAAAACACUAGAGUCAAUCACGAAGGCAAAGGUCUAACAUAGGCAUUAUGCAAAAACGCCUCCGAUGCUCAGGCCUUUGAGGGCGAUUUCGACGUCUCCAUGCUCAAAUCGAGGCAUUUUCAGAAAUGCCGACAAACCGCUGUGCACCGGCUGCUUAAAAAGUAGGAUCCGGCUUGCCUGCUCCCUUCACAUGCUCCCAUCCGUGCUUCCACUUCAUCCUACGGCUGUCCUUUUCUCUUUUCUCUUUCUAAUCUAAUCAUUUCCCCCCUGAUUUUAAGAGAUGGGGCCGGAGCACGUUGGGAGAGUAGGCAAGUCUCGUUCGCUUAAAAAAGGCCUAUCGACUAUGCUGGAUCUACAAAACAGGACCUCUAACUCUUGUUCCAUUAGCGGUAUGGGACUAAAAUGUUUCAAGUCUGACCAACCUCCCGUGAGCAAAAGCUAAAUCUAAAAUAAUUAACAUGUAUUGCAUGAUUCGAACACAGCCCUGGCUGUGUAUAACUUUGCACUCAUACCACUACAAUAAGCAAAGCAUUUAGAUUAAGUUACAAACCAACCAUUUGUUAAUCCAGACGAGCAGGCCUUCCGAUCAAAAAUCAUCACGCAACUCAUCUCCGAUAUGCCAAUAAUCUCGUCAGCAGCGGAUUGAACGACGACGGCCAAGAACGAAAUACUCAUGCGGCUUUGAACCCUGAAGGUCUCGUAACAGCAGCACUGCUACCCGCAUCAGACGCAAUAUGUGGCCAGUUUGCCGCCGCCGGACCUGCCGCGCUGCAUCAAUCUAAGAGCAUUUUCCUAAGACGCCUGUCGGUGUCAAAACCGGCGGAUCUCGGGUAGGGGGUUCCGAACUGUGCGUCUAGGCCGGAUGAUCACAGGAGGCAGGGGACACGAUGUUUUAGUCAGGUUCGGGCCCUCUUGAUGGAGGUAAAACCCUAAGUUCUGCUUGAUUAAUAUUGAUGAUAUGGGUAGUACAAGAGUAGAUCUACCACGAGAUCAGAGAGGCUAAACCCUAGAUCUAGCCUAUGGUAUGAUUGUUGUUCGUCCUAUGGACUAAAACCCUCCGGUUUAUAUAGACACCAGAGAGGGUUAGGGUUACACAGAGUCGGUUACAAUGGUAGGAGAUCUACAUAUCCAUAUCGCCAAGCUUGCCUUCCACGCCAAGGAAAGUCCCUUUCAGACAUGGGACGAAGUGUUCAAUCUUGUAUCUUCAUAGUCCAGGAGUCCGGCCGAACGCCUCCGGCCAGCGGCGACGGCGUCCGCGAGGAACGCGGUGAGAGGGGCCGCGAGCCCGUCCAUGGCCAUCUUAAGGAGCCCGUCCUCCCCGGGCGGCACGUCGGCGGUGGACUCGGCGCCCUCCGACAGCCCGUCGAUGCGCGGCAGCGGCAGCGGCACGAAGCGGAGGCGACCUGACAGGUGCGGCGGCACGGGCGGGAGCCUGGCGAGGUUCCGCGGCGUGAAGACGAAGGCGACGGCAUGGCCGCGGGCGGCGAGGCGCCUGGAGAGGUCGAGGAACGGAAGCAUGUGCCCGAAUGCCAGCCACGGGAACAUCACCACCUCCAGCUGCCCGCCGGCUUCCUCCAUAUGGACGUGAGCUGAGGUGAACCGAUCGGCAAUGGAGGCUGGAGAAGAAGCAAAUUAAUCAAGGUGGUUGACUCUCUUCUGGUGGAGCAGCCUGAGAAUGGUGAUAUGCGACGAUCGAUCCGACUGCGUGUGUAUAUAUAAUUCUACUCCGCAGAGGCGAGCUGGCGCUUCUCGUGGCGUGGAUGAUAUUUUAAGCUUUGAGAUUGGUAUGGAUGUAAGCAUCAUUCGUGAUUUGCUACCGCUAACGACCAAUUGAAAGUGAGGAUAAUGGCCUGGCCGAAUAUAUAUACUUGGGAUAAUGACAACUUAGCCAAAUCAGGAUCAUGACCUGGCCGAUCAAAGUCAGAAGAGUAGAAUGUAUAGUUUAUCUUGGGAUAAUGUGAUUAAGGAGCCAGAAGUCAUCGCCGACACAAAACUUUCAGAGAACGUGGUAGCAAUUUCUCACUCAAACAUCCCUUUCUGGACUUGCAUCGAUUGAUUACUAUGCAUUUUGGUAACGUCUCAGGUGCUCCACAAGAUGGUCAAUGUGUACCGCUACCUGUCGCGCCCUUUCUUCGAGAACCUCUCACGCAUGAACAUGAAUUGAACGAACACUAUAACAUGGUACUUGUACUAAAGUUAGUAUAGAGUUGAGUCAUAUAUUUUGGAACGGAGGGAGUAGAAAUUUGGAGGCACUAAAAAUACGCCUUUAAAAGGUCGCCCCCAAAUAUGUAACGAGGUGACUGAAGAAAACACUAGAGUCAAUCACGAAGGCAAAGGUCUAACAUAGGCAUUAUGCAAAAACGCCUCCGAUGCUCGGGCCUUUGAGGGCGAUUUCGACGUCUCCAUGCUCAAAUCGAGGCAUUUUCAGAAAUGCCGACAAACCGCUGUGCACCGGCUGCUUAAAAAGUAGGAUCCGGCUUGCCUGCUCCCUUCACAUGCUCCCAUCCGUGCUUCCACUUCAUCCUAUGGCUGUCCUUUUCUCUUUUCUCUUUCUAAUCUAAUCAUUCCGCCCCCUGAUUUUAAGAGAUGGGGCCGGAGCACGUUGGGAGAGUAGGCAAGUCUCGUUCGCUUAAAAAAGGCCUAUCGACUAUGCUGGAUCUACAAAACAGGACCUCUAACUCUUGUUCCAUUAGCGGUAUGGGACUAAAAUGUUUCAAGUCUGACCAACCUUCUGUGAGCAAAAGCUAAAUCUGAGAUAAUUAACAUGUAUUGCAUGAUUCGAACACAGCCCUGGCUGUGUAUAACUUUGCACUCAUACAACUACAAUAAGUAAAGCAUUUAGAUUAAGUUACAAACCAACCAUUUGUUAAUCCAGACGAGCAGGCCUUCCGAUCAAAAAUCAUCACGCAACUCAUCUCCGAUAUGCCAAUAAUCUCGUCAGCAGCGGAUUGAACGACGACGGCCAAGAACGAAAUACUCAUGCGGCUUUGAACACUGAAGGUCCCGUAACAGCAGCACUGCCACCCGCAUCAGCCGCAAUAUGUGGCCAGUUUGCCGCUGCCGGACCUGCCGCGCUGCAUCGAUCUGAGAGUAUUUUCCUAAGACGCCUGUCGGUGUCAAAACCGGCAGAUCUCGGGUAGGGAGUUUCGAACUGUGCGUCUAGGCCGGAUGAUAACAGGAGGCAGGGGACACGAUGUUUUAGCCAGGUUCGGGCCCUCUUGAUGGAGGUAAAACCCUACGUUCUGCUUGAUUAAUAUUGAUCAUAUGGGUAGUACAAGAGUAGAUCUACCACGAGAUCAGAGAGGCUAAACCCUAAAAGCUAGCCUAUGGUAUGAUUGUUGUUCGUCCUAUGGACUAAAACCCUCCGGUUUAUAUAGACACCAGAGAGGGCUAGGGUUACACAGAGUCGGUUACAAUGGUAAGAGAUCUACAUAUCCAUUUCGCCAAGCUUGCCUUCCACACCAAGGAAAGUCCCUUCCGUACACGGGACGAAGUGUUCAAUCUUGUAUCUUCAUAGUCCAGGAGUCCGGCCAAACGCCUCCGGCCAGCGGCGACGGCGUCCGCGAGGAACGCGGCGAGAGGGGCCGCGAGCCCGUCCAUGGCCAUCUUAAGGAGCCCGUCCUCCCCGGGCGGCACGUCGGCGGUGGACUCGGCGCCCUCCGGCAGCCCGUCGACGCGCGGCAGCGGCAGCUGCACGAAGCGGAGGCGACCUGACAGGUGCGGCGGCGCGGGUGGGAGCCUGGCGAGGUUCCGCGGCGUGGAGACGAAGGCGACGGUGUGGCCGCGGGCGGCGAGGCGCCUGGAGAGGUCGAGGAAUGGGAGCAUGUGCCCGAACGCCAGCCACGGGAACAUCACCACCUCCAGCUGCCCGCCGGCUUCCUCCAUAUGGACGUGAGCUGAGCUGAGCUGAUCGGCAAUGGAGGCUGGAGAAGAAGCAAAUUAAUCAAGGUGGUUGACUCUCUUCUGGUGGAGCAGCCUGAGA
rnacentral:lncRNA from 1 species